ensembl:lncRNA
GUAAUAUGUAUGCUAAUAAGCAGCUAUUUUACAGUGAGAACUGGUCUCUAUAGAGUUACCAGUAGGAAGAAUAUUUGAUUAAAUCAUAAUUUAUUAUGUGACUGAAUGUGAGUUAUUGUGUUUUCUCUCCAGAGACAGUCUUUCGUCUUCAGAUGUUUCUCGUCUUCUGUCCAAAUGUUCUGAUGUUCCUAGCGUUUGUCCUCUGGGGUGUUUCUGAAGGAUCUCUGUUUGAGUCGGUCUCUUGUUGUGCUCUUUAUUUUCUGAGGCCUCUCAUGUUGCUCUGGACGGCUCCGUAUAUUAAUAACUUCACAGGUGAUUCAUUAUUACCAGCUUAUGAGAGAAAAUAUACUUCAUGAAUAUAAUAACUAGAUUGUUUUCACAUGAACUAAACAAUCUGUCAAGACCUGAAUGAAUUUACAUUAAAAAGGAUUCAGUGUUUCAUUGUGUCAGUGUUGUAAAUGAUAUUGUGAUGUAAUUACUUCAUCUUUUCUGUUUUACAGGCAACAUUAAAACAUGGGUUAAAAAAUACAGUUCUAGAGCAGAAUAUAUUGUUUUCUCAGCUGUUUUUUAUUCAGGUAAAGAAAUCCAAAUGUAAAUCAACAUUCAUUAUCAAGCACAUUAAAAUGCACAUUAACACUUGAACAUUAAUUAUUUUUAAAUAUUCUCAGUAUCCUGCAGGAAAUCUUAAACAUGACAUGACGUUAAUAAUUGGAAGUGUCUGUUACUGUUGUAUUGUUGUCAGUAUCAUAUUCUACACGUGUUCAGUGUUAAAUCUCUGUGUGACUGAACACAUUUCAUCACUCUUAUAAUCUACACCGGUUAAUAAUGAAGAAAUCACAUUAAUUAAUAGACAUGAUGUUAUAGUGACUGAGUCUGAAGCUACUUCUACAUCACAUCUCAGCAUGUUUUGGGGUCAUGUGAGGGUCAGGGGUCAUAUAAUCAGCACAAAGGUCACAGGGUCAGUGUCAGGAACAGUUAAACGAAUGUGUCGUAAUGUUGUGUAAGAAGCAUCAGUUUUUGUAAUUCUUGUGAUCUGUAUUUAUUAUAUGUUGUUCUUCUAUUUUAGUAAUUGUUGGGUUUUUUCUCUUCUUUCUUCCAGUUCUGUUUAAAUCUGCCUGGGACAAGAGUCUGAAUUACACUGGAUUUGAGGGAGUCAUGAUUAUAAUUCUCUUUGUGAUGGUGCUUCUGUUCACCCUCUUCUAUAUUAUUUACUGUAAGUAUUUCCUUUAAGAGUCAGUGAGAUGAAUGUGCUGUAAAUCAUGAUUUACCAGAUUAAUGCUGUUUGUUAAAGACACAACAUAUAAAACCCUAAUAUCAGACCUGAUUUAUCAGUUAACUGAAGCAUUUCCAUUAGACGAGUUAUUAUAGCAAAUAUUACUCAGAGUGCUUUACACAGACAUGAUAAAGAGAAAAAUAAAAGUGAUGAAAGAAUUGAAGAAAAAAAAACA